rnacentral:rRNA from 1 species
UCAAGUCAUCAUGGCCCUUACGGCCAGGGCUACACACGUGCUACAAUGGUCGGUACAAAGGGUUGCUACCUAGCGAUAGGAUGCUAAUCUCAAAAAGCCGAUCGUAGUCCGGAUUGGAGUCUGCAACUCGACUCCAUGAAGUCGGAAUCGCUAGUAAUCGCGGAUCAGAAUGCCGCGGUGAAUACGUUCCCGGGCCUUGUACACACCGCCCGUCACACCAUGGGAGUUUGUUGCACCAGAAGUAGCUAGCCUAACUGCAAAGAGGGCGGUUACCACGGUGUGGCCGAUGACUGGGGUGAAGUCGUAACAAGGUAGCCGUAGGGGAACCUGCGGCUGGAUCACCUCCUUAACGAA